CAGUCGCCGCGGUAAUACGUAGGGUGCAAGCGUUAAUCGGAAUUACUGGGCGUAAAGCGUGCGCAGGCGGUUAUAUAAGACAGAUGUGAAAUCCCCGGGCUCAACCUGGGAACUGCAUUUGUGACUGUAUAGCUAGAGUACGGCAGAGGGGGAUGGAAUUCCGCGUGUAGCAGUGAAAUGCGUAGAUAUGCGGAGGAACACCGAUGGCGAAGGCAGCCCCCUGGGCCAACACUGACGCUCAUGCACGAAAGCGUGGGGAGCAAACAGGAUUAGAUACCCCCGUAGUCCCUGUCUCUUAUAA
rnacentral:rRNA from 1 species